rnacentral:lncRNA from 1 species
GUUUAUGAACCACAUGAAACACCAUUUGGAACUUGAGAAGCAGAGCAGUGAGAGCUGGGAAAACCAUACCACCUGCCAGCACUGCUACCGUCAGUUUCCCACACCAUUUCAGUUGCAGUGUCACAUCGAAAGUACACAUACGCCCCAUGAAUUUUCUACUAUUUGUAAAAUCUGUGAAUUGUCAUUUGAAACAGAACAUGUUCUUUUACAACAUAUGAAGGACAAUCAUAAACCUGGUGAAAUGCCAUAUGUCUGCCAGGUUUGUAAUUAUAGAUCAUCAUCAUUUUCUGAUGUAGAAACUCAUUUUAGAACAUCCCAUGAAAACACUAAGAACUUGCUAUGCCCGUUUUGCCUCAAAGUUAUUAAAAUUGCAACACCAUAUAUGCAUCAUUAUAUGAAGCAUCAGAAAAAAGGAAUACAUCGUUGUACAAAAUGCAGGCUGCAGUUUUUGACAUGCAAGGAGAAAAUGGAUCAUAAGACUCAACACCAUCGAACAUUUAUAAAACCUAAACAACUAGAAGGAUUGCCUCCUGGAACAAAAGUUACUAUUCGAGCUUCAGUUGGACCUCUGCAAUCAGGAGCUUCACCUACACCUUCCAUUAGUGCAAGUGCUUCUACCCUUCAGCUCUCACCUCCAAGGACUAAAAAUAUAACUGCUAAAAAUCCUGCAAAAUCUAAUACAAGUAAACCUAAUACAGUCAAAUCCAACGCAAGUAAACCUAAUACAAGUAAGCCUAAUGGAAGUAAAUCUAAAUACAAACCAAAAAUCUCUAAUAUGCAAAAGAAACAAAGCACAUUGGCUAGUAGCAAUAAAAAAAGUAAAGUCAAUACAGCAUUGAGGAAUUUAAGGUAAUCUUUUAUUCCUGAUAUACAAUAUAAUUUAAACUUAAGUAUAAAAACUUAUACUUUAGUUAAGAGAACAUUAUUAAGGCUCUUCCUUAUUAUUUUUGUUUUAAAAUAUAUUUUUAUCAUUUUUUUAAUGUCUCCCUAAGGUAUCGUCGGGGCAUUCACAAAUG